GUAGCCAUAAACCUAAAUAAAUACACUAACAAAUUUAUUCGCCUGAGAACUACAAGCAACCGCUAGAAACUCAAAGGACUUGGCGGUGCUUUAUAUCCGUCUAGAGGAGCCUGUUCCAAAAUCGAUAAACCCCGAUAUACCUCACCACUUCUUGCUAAUUCAGCCUGUAUACCGCCAUCUUCAGCUAACCCUAAAAGGAACAUUAGUAAGCAUAAACAUUAUAACCUAAUAAAAAAGUUAGGUCAAGGUGCAGCCAAUGAAGUGGAGUGCAAUGGGCUACAUUUUCUGCAAUCAGAACAUCACGGAAUUCUCUCUGAAAACAGAGAACAAAGGAGGAUUUAGUAGUAAGUUAAAAAUAGAGUGUUUAACUGAAUAGAGCAAUGAAG
rnacentral:rRNA from 1 species